rnacentral:rRNA from 1 species
GAUGAACGCUGGCGGCGUGCUUAACACAUGCAAGUCGAGCGAGAAAAGUUCUUCGGAGCUUUUCUAGCGGCGGACGGGUGAGUAACACGUGGGUAACCUGCCUCAUAGAGGGGAAUAGCCUUCCGAAAGGAAGAUUAAUACCGCAUAACAUUGUUGAAAGGCAUCUUUUAACAAUCAAAGGAGCAAUCCGCUAUGAGAUGGGCCCGCGGCGCAUUAGCUAGUUGGUGAGGUAACGGCUCACCAAGGCGACGAUGCGUAGCCGACCUGAGAGGGUGAUCGGCCACAUUGGAACUGAGACACGGUCCAGACUCCUACGGGAGGCAGCAGUGGGGAAUAUUGCACAAUGGGGGAAACCCUGAUGCAGCAACGCCGCGUGAGUGAUGAAGGUCUUCGGAUUGUAAAGCUCUGUCUUUAGGGACGAUAAUGACAGUACCUAAGGAGGAAGCCACGGCUAACUACGUGCCAGCCGCCGCCGUAAAAC